GCGCUCUGGCAGCCGAGAACGCUACCACCGUGACUCUGACCGCUACUGGGACCGCCACAGGUCGUCCUACCACCACCGCGACCACUACCACCACCGUCACAGAUCCAAAAGUGACCGCGACCGGAGGCCUGUCGUCGGGGAGUAUAACCACCACCGAGGCUCCGGGCGCUGGGAGGACGGCUCCAGCCGCUGGCGUUGGGGAGGUGAGGAGGGGCGCGGGCGGCUGCACACCAGCGAGGAGGAGGAGGCGGAGCUCUCCAGCAGGGCCAAGCAGCCGGAGCCCCCCGCCUACAACCCCUCUGCCUCCAGCGGGCACACAGACAGGAAACGCAGCCUGGAGGACGACCAUUCAGAGGAGCGGCAGGUCAAGAAACACAAGAAGUCCAAAAAGAAAAAGAAGAACAAGGACAAGCAUAGAGGUUCAGAUCUGGACUCCCCUGAGCGGACCAGCGACGGCACCUCAGUGAAACACAAGAAAAAGAAGAAGAAAAAGAAGAGGAGGCACGAGGACGAGCAGAACCACAGGAGUUCCGGGGGCGAGGAGCGACCCAACCGCAAGCGCCGCAGCCACGAGCGAGAUCCGUCGCCGCAGGACUCCAAGCGCGCCCGCCUCGACAACCACUCUGCCCACACGCCCAGCACCCAGCACCGUCAGCUGAACGGCCACAUAGGCAAUGGCUACUCCUCUAUGUCUUCCCAGGAAGGCGAUAGCACCCAGGGAAUCUCCAAAGAUGCGAAAUGCAUGAUGGCAUCUGGUCGACUGCUGAGUCCACUGUGUGCGGGAGGAAAUGGGGAGAGGAGGAGAGCUUCAAAGAUGUCUGCCUUCGAUGUGAAUGGACAUGUGGUGUAGAAGACUCCUCUCUUCCUCUAGAUGCCCAGAUAUGGUAAACUGUCAAAAAUAAGCUUUUGAAAAAUCGAAACAAAUCUACAGCAAAAGAAUGAGAUUCUUCUAAGUGAACAUGGUGCUUUAAAUCAUUGAUGAUAUACUGUAUUUUUUAACCACACAAGAAGCACUUUUGUGUGGCUUUUAAAAAGAAAAACUUUUUUAACGGACCGCAUUGGAAUAUUUUUCCUUUUUUCUUUUUAAGUUCACUCUACAGCUGUGAACUCUACAACUCAAUAGAAGUUAUGAAUCUAGAGUUAAUAUAUACAUUCAAAAAGAAAGAAAAGACAGAAAGCCUGGAGCUUGAACAUCUUACUUGCUGCUCAGACACAGACACAGACUCAGGACACACACUCAAGGUGAGACCCCAUUCCUGUUGAGGAGGAAUCUCUUGCCCCUAACCCGCCCCCACUCCCACCCCCCUCCCCCGCUUUGGGAAUUGGGAAUUACCAGACCACCAUGUCACACAGGAGAAGAGGAACUUUAUCAAAGUGUCUCCUGGCCUCUGAUGUCACUGGACUCAUAUCUGUAGGGGAGCAUCCGGUGGGAGCGGACUCUUCUGCGAAUGCUACAUGGGCACUUAACCACAUCCUUCACCUGGACACACUUGAGGAUGUUUGCCGUGCUGCUUCUCUUCUCGGCACAGACACCUACAAUUGUCCUCCAUUAACCGGAAACUUUUUUUUAUUAUUAUUAUUAUUAUAAGUCAGCGUUAUUAAUAAAAAAAACACAAUAAUCAUGUAUCUUUAAUGUAAUUUUAAGUUCAGUUCAUUCUGUUAUGGAAAAAGAAUACUGUGAACUUUAAUUUUUUUGAACUGUACUAUCAGUUAUUUGUAUACAUAGUCCUGUAUCAGGAACAAGACACUUUCUCUCUUUUUUUUCCCUUUUUGUUUUACUUUUUUUCAUUUUGUAGUGAAGCCCCAUGGCAGAAUUUCAGACCAUGUUCAAUGGGCGUCAGGUUUGUUUGUUUUUGUUUUGAGUGUGUGUAUGUGUGUCAAUUCAAAAAGUGGAAUGGUUAUGGUAAUGUCAAAGCCUAUGUUCUACUGUAGCAUGUUAAAUUAAGUUUAUACAUUGUACAGUUCUAUAGAGGAGGAGAAAGCCUUAAAUGCAUUUGUUAAUAUUGGAAAUUGUAAGUUUUUUUUUUCUUUUUCUUUUUUCUCACUGUUUACAUGAUUUUUCUUUGUGUUUGGAGUGAAUGCUGACUGUUGAAAAUGUUUGUUUGAUGUGUGAGGGGAGAAUGUUUGGAUUUGUACAGAAUGGGCUCCCUUCUUUUUUUUUUGUUUAGAAAAACAAACAAAAAAAAUAUUUCGAUAAAUGUGACUUUUGCAAUUUUAUUGAAUGUGGCGUUUGAGAAUGUGGUCUUGUGGAGAGACCCGGCCGUUUUGACAGUAAAUACGACAGAAUACUUAAAGUUCUAGAGCUGUUUAUUUAAACACGACAUGGGUUGAGUAAGGGGUUCAUAGAGUGUUUGUGGGUCAGACAGCAUUCAGAACAAGCUGAAUGCUGCCAGACAACAUGGCCCCUUCACCCUAAGUUCACAAUUGUCUGUCCCGGAUUUUAUCCUGCCAAACAAUUUUCUGUUCAGAAAGGUAUUUUUUUUAAAUCGGUGACCCUGUUAGAGGACUGGUUGAAAGAUCUUCCGCUUUAAUUCCUACAACGUCCAUUUUCAGUUGGUAUUGGUUUGACCUCAAUAUCCUGGUCUUUUAGACGUGUACAUAUAACAUAGAACACCCUCCUGCUACUGGGCUAUGGGAAUCUCUUCAUCAUUAUUGUUAUUAUCAGUGUCUUGCAGUUCUUAUACGGUAAUUCCACUUUAAAAAGAAGACAAUAA
ensembl:lncRNA